rnacentral:lncRNA from 1 species
UGUUUUCAUAAUUUACUAUAAUGAAAAAAUAAUAAGCUAUAAAAGUUACAUGCAUACUGUUGGUGGAAUGGUGGCUAAUGUGACUUUUCAACUUCUCACUCUUCCUCCAAAUAUGAUAAAAAUUAUUAUUCCGAGAUUGAGAUGUGGUGCCUUUAUUCAGAUUAUUGUCUACUUUUUAUCUCUAAUGAAUAACCGACAACCAGUAGAGUCUUUCUUUCUUGAGCUCUCUGCUACUAUUUACCAGAAUGGAACAUUGCUUCAGCUAAUAAAUAAAAACAUUACUCUGUUAGCAGAUGUUGAAACACAAAACCGAGCUAGGAACCGAAGGAUUAUUGGGGACAUGCUUUCACUGCUUCGAUUUAAUGAUUUACUACUUGUGUGUGAGUG